CACGAUUCUCUGGAAGCUAGGUCUUUAUCUCUCUCAGGUGCAAGUGAGAGAUGAGCAGCUGCUGCGGCUGUCAAGUUUGAAUCAAGAGAAAUCAGAGAUUUCGAUUUGUAAAAGCGUGAUCUGAGAUCUGAUGAUGAAUUAAAUUCAAAAAUCACGAUAACCCUUUGAUUCAGAUUAAGUUUUCAGUACUUAUACAGAGAGAUCUCAACCGGUGUACAGUUCAUCAAUUUUGCUUAAGUGUGAAUCUGGUGGUGUCUUUUAUUCAAUUCAAAGAAGAAGAAGUUUCUUUCCAUAAACAAGUUAUAAUCUUCUGGUUCUUGGAGUUUAUUUCGCAGGUAAAUGUUACUAGACAUCUAUAGAUCAUUCUCGUGGACUGUGGUUGAGUACGCUUGUUCUGAUUGCAACAUGCCUGCUAUGACAAAGAGUUUUGAGCACCACAAUUUUGGGCACAUAUUUGAC